rnacentral:rRNA from 1 species
GGCGGUUAGAUAAGUNUGAAGUUAAAGGCAGUGGCUCAACCAUUGUAGGCUUUGGAAACUGUUUAACUUGAGUGCAGAAGGGGAGAGUGGAAUUCCAUGUGUAGCGGUGAAAUGCGUAGAUAUAUGGAGGAACACCGGUGGCGAAAGCGGCUCUCUGGUCUGUAACUGACGCUGAGGCUCGAAAGCGUGGGGAGCGAACAGGAUUAGAUACCCUGGUAGUNCACGCCGUAAACGAUGAGUGCUAGGUGUUAGGUCCUUUCCGGGACUUAGUGCCGCAGCUAACGCAUUAAGCACUCCGCCUGGGGAGUACGACCGCAAGGUUGAAACUCAAAGGAAUUGACGGGGGCCCGCACAAGCGGUGGAGCAUGUGGUUUAAUUCGAAGCAACGCGAAGAACCUUACCAGGUCUUGACAUCCCGAUGCCCGCUCUAGAGAUAGAGCUUUACUUCGGUACAUCGGUGACAGGUGGUGCAUGGUUGUCGUCAGCUCGUGUCGUGAGAUGUUGGGUUAAGUCCCGCAACGAGCGCAACCCUUAUUGUUAGUUGCCAUCAUUCAGUUGGGCACUCUAGCGAGACUGCCGGUAAUAAACCGGAGGAAGGUGGGGAUGACGUCAAAUCAUCAUGCCCCUUAUGACCUGGGCUACACACGUGCUACAAUGGCUGGUACAACGAGUCGCAAGCCGGUGACGGCAAGCUAAUCUCUGAAAGCCAGUCUCAGUUCGGAUUGUAGGCUGCAACUCGCCUACAUGAAGUCGGAAUCGCUAGUAAUCGCGGAUCAGCACGCCGCGGUGAAUACGUUCCCGGGCCUUGUACACACCGCCCGUCACACCACGAGAGUUUGUAACACCCGAAGUCGGUGAGGUAACCGUAAGGAGCC